rnacentral:snoRNA from 1 species
GCAUUCUGACCUAGCCUAUUACUCCUGCUAAGAGUGAAUGGAUAACAGGGGAGUCUGGCAGGACACACAGCAACCUCCUCUAAGUUUAGGAGGGCUGUCCUGGGUAUAGGGCUGCCCUUAAGGGGGAAAAA